rnacentral:rRNA from 1 species
AUGGCUGGUUGGUUCAGGAGCGGCUGCGCAUGGACAGCGCCACCACCUGCGCCCACUGCUUCAGCCUCAUCUUCACCGUCUCCGGCGGGUCAUCUGCAGGGAAGUGAAGCACCGCCGCCAAAAAAGUCAGAUCAAAACUCCAAUCGCGCCGACCCGCGACGGAUCAGCAAUCAAAAUCUAUUCGCGUUUGAUGAAACGGAACUGAAUGUGCGUACCUGGGGAGAGUAUGGAGAGGGGGCUCCCGAUGGGCGACGGCUCGGAGGCCUCCGAGGAGGCGCCGCAAGAGCACUGGCUCUGGCCGGCCGCGCAGCCGCCGGCACCGGCGCCGGCGUUGGCGGCGACGGCGUAGAGGAGGUCGAGCGCCGGGAGCGUCUCGACGAGGCGGCUCCUGCCGGCGUCGCAGGCGGCGCAGCGCUGCGAGGGCGGGUCGAAGCGGAAGCCCAGAUCGAGGGAGCCGCGCAGCUCGUCGAGCUGGUCGUCGGUGACGCUCUGCGCGCGCUGCAGCGGCGAGCGGCGGCCCCGGCCGAGAAUCCCGCGCCGCCGCCGCUCCCACGCCUCGUCGCGCUCGAUGUCGGGCGACCACGAGUUCUGCUUCUGCAGGCCCAUCGCCCCCGCCGCGCCCCUCAGCCUGCCCCCGCCGCCCAGGCCCAUCAGAUGGGGCUGGAACCCCUUCCUCUCCUCCUCCAUGGCCGCCGGCCUCCUCCGCGAGGGGGACGGCGUGGGAUUUGGAUGGGGGCGAGGAGGACCGCUGGCCGCUGCCGGGGGCGAGUGGCCGGGGUGGAGUAA